AUUGAACGCUGGCGGCAGGCUUAACACAUGCAAGUCGAGCGGAGCGAGGGUGCUUGCACCUUAGCUUAGCGGCGGACGGGUGAGUAAUGCUUAGGAAUCUGCCUAUUAGUGGGGGACAACAUUCCGAAAGGAAUGCUAAUACCGCAUACGCCCUACGGGGGAAAGCAGGGGAUCUUCGGACCUUGCGCUAAUAGAUGAGCCUAAGUCGGAUUAGCUAGUUGGUGGGGUAAAGGCCUACCAAGGCGACGAUCUGUAGCGGGUCUGAGAGGAUGAUCCGCCACACUGGGAUUGAGACACGGCCCAGACUCCUACGAGAGGCAGCAGUGGGGAAUAUUGGACAAUGGGCGGAAGCCUGAUCCAGCCAUGCCGCGUGUGUGAAGAAGGCCUUUUGGUUGUAAAGUACUUUAAGCGAGGAGGAGGCUACUAGUAUUAAUACUACUGGAUAGUGGACGUUACUCGCAGAAUAAGCACCGGCUAACUCUGUGCCAGCAGCCGCGGUAACAC
rnacentral:rRNA from 1 species